rnacentral:lncRNA from 1 species
AACAAGAUAAACCUUUUUCACUAUCACAAAACAAUUACAAAUAUUAAUCAUAGAGAAAAACAAUUUGUAAGAGUUUAGAAAUACCACCUCUCUUGAAACCACAAGAGAUGAACUUACACCUCCUUUGAAUCUUCACAAAGGAUGACCACCUCCUUCGAAUGCUUCACGAAGGAUGAUUCUCUUCCAGGCACUUCCUNGGACACACCAAGGAUGAAUAAGCUAUUCCUUUGUCACCG